GAUAUAACGUCAGAUAUUAUCCUUAUAGUUUAGAUUGGAAUUUUUAUCUUGAUUUUUGAAUUAUUUAUGUUAAUUUUAGAAUUUUACCAUUGUGCAUAAAGCACAGUGCAUCACGAAGCCUAGACCGAUCUCAAAAAAUAGAUAUAUCGCGAACGAGGAUACAUUGAAUCAAGUGCUGGACAAUGUUAUUUUGCUUCGAAGAAAAAUCGUGACGAGCUUCUUGCUUUGACCGACCUUGGACUAUAUUCUUCAAUUGGUAUCGAUUCAAUAGCUACCAUAGGCGCGCAUACAACUAUGACAGCAACUGUGGCGAACGUUGUCUU